rnacentral:rRNA from 1 species
UACGUAGGGUGCAAGCGUUGUCCGGAAUUAUUGGGCGUAAAGAGCUCGUAGGCGGUUUGUCGCGUCGGCUGUGAAAUCCCGAGGCUCAACCUCGGGCCUGCAGUCGAUACGGGCAAACUAGAGUGUGGUAGGGGAGACUGGAAUUCCUGGUGUAGCGGUGAAAUGCGCAGAUAUCAGGAGGAACGCCGGCGGCGAAGGCGGGUCUCUGGGCCAUAACUGACGCUGAGGAGCGAAAGCGUGGGGAGCGAACAGG